rnacentral:rRNA from 1 species
GAUGAACGCUGGCGGCGUGCCUAACACAUGCAAGUCGAACGAUGAAACCGCCCUCGGGCGGACAUGAAGUGGCGAACGGGUGAGUAACACGUGACCGACCUGCCCCCCGCCCAGGGACAGCCCCCCGAAAGGGGGAUUAAUACCUGGUACUCCGGGAGCGGCGCAUGCCGCCCCCGGGAAAGCUCUGGCGGCGGGGGAUGGGGUCGCGGCCCAUCAGGUAGACGGCGGGGCAGAGGCCCACCGUGCCGACGACGGGUAGCCGGGUUGAGAGACCGACCGGCCACAUUGGGACUGAGAUACGGCCCAGACUCCUACGGGAGGCAGCAGUGGGGAAUUUUGCGCAAUGGGGGCAACCCUGACGCAGCAACGCCGCGUGCGGGACGAAGGCGUCCGCGUCGUAAACCGCUUUCAGCGGGGAACACUUUUCGAGGGUGCCCGCAGAAGAAGCCCCGGCUAAAUACGUGCCAGCCGCCGCCGUAAAAC